rnacentral:rRNA from 1 species
GAUGAACGCUGGCGGCGUGCCUAAUACAUGCAAGUCGAGCGAAUGGAUUAAGAGCUUGCUCUUAUGAAGUUAGCGGCGGACGGGUGAGUAACACGUGGGCAACCUGCCCAUAAGACUGGGAUAACUCCGGGAAACCGGGGCUAAUACCGGGUAACAUUUUGAACCGCAUGGUUCGAAAUUGAAAGGCGGCUUCGGCUGUCACUUAUGGAUGGACCCGCGUCGCAUUAGCUAGUUGGUGAGGUAACGGCUCACCAAGGCAACGAUGCGUAGCCGACCUGAGAGGGUGAUCGGCCACACUGGGACUGAGACACGGCCCAGACUCCUACGGGAGGCAGCAGUAGGGAAUCUUCCGCAAUGGACGAAAGUCUGACGGAGCAACGCGGCGUGAGUGAUGAAGGCUUUCGGGUCGUAAAACUCUGUUGUUAGGGAAGAACAAGUGCUAGUUGAAUAAGCUGGCACCUUGACGGUACCUAACCAGAAAGCCACGGCUAACUACGUGCCAGCCGCCGCCGUAA